rnacentral:lncRNA from 1 species
UCACUGAAUUUGAUAGCUUUAUUCGUGAUCAUGAAGAAGCAUCGUUUCCACGAACUGCGGCUGAUGCCUUAGAUCUAAAAACAUGUUACAACAAAUGCAACCAAAGCUACGACAAAUUGGCGUCACUAAUAUCAGAAACUAGAUGGAAAUUUUGCAGAAUGUUGUGCAAAGAGACAAACCAUAUUAUAAAACGGUGCAUGGAAUCCUCUGGUGGGAAUAGAGAUAAAGCUGUGAGAUGCAUACAAAGAUCGUUUGGAAUAUUGUUGGAAUCUUUAUCAAAAAAAUAUAAACUAUUAAAUUAAUUAUUAUAUAUU